rnacentral:rRNA from 1 species
UGUCUUCUAAAUAAAGACCAGUAUGAAUGGCUAAAUGAGGACAAGCCUGUCUCUUAUGACCAAUCAGUGAAACUGAUCUCCCAGUACAAAAGCUGGGAUAAGCACAUAAGACGAGAAGACCCUGUGGAGCUUAAAACAAACCACUACACCCCAACGUUAGUGCAAUGUUUUAAGUUGGGGCGACUUCGGAACAAAACAAAACUUCCGAGCACGGGGCCACCCGCCCCAGCCAAGGCCAACAAGCCAAACAAUAAAGCCGACCCGGCCACGCCGAAAAACGAACCAAGUUACCCCAGGGAUAACAGCGCUAUCUUCUUCAAGAGUCCCUAUCGACAAGAAGGUUUACGACCUCGAUGUUGGAUCAGGACACCCGAAUGGUGCAGCCGCUAUUAAAGGUUCGUUUGUUCAACGAUUAACAGU